rnacentral:lncRNA from 1 species
AGAUAGGUAUGUUCCUAAUUUACUAAAGUCACUAAGAUCUCAGAAAAUAGUUUAUAUUUGUUGUGGAGAAGAUCAUACUGCUGCUCUAACCAAGGAAGGUGGAGUGUUUACUUUUGGAGCUGGAGGGUAUGGUCAGUUGGGCCAUAAUUCUACCAGUCAUGAAAUAAACCCAAGGAAAGUUUUUGAACUUAUGGGAAGCAUUGUCACUCAGAUUGCUUGUGGACGGCAGCACACUUCUGCUUUUGUUCCUUCAUCAGGACGAAUUUACUCUUUUGGGCUUGGUGGUAAUGGGCAGCUGGGAACCGGUUCAACAAGCAACAGGAAAAGUCCCUUUACUGUAAAAGGAAAUUGGUACCCUUAUAAUGGGCAGUGUCUACCAGAUAUUGAUUAUGAAGAAUAUUUCUGUGUAAAAAGAAUUUUCUCAGGGGGAGAUCAAAGCUUUUCACAUUACUCUAGUCCCCAGAACUGUGGGCCACCAGAUGACUUCAGAUGUCCUGAUC